rnacentral:tRNA from 1 species
GCCAUUGUAGCUCAGCUGGUUAGAGCAGCCGUUUUGUAAACGGCAGGUCGUCGGUUCGAAUCCGACCAAUGGCU